AACAGCACUAUGACAGCAUACUGGAAACACGUGGACACAGCCUUUUUCUUAUGGAACUGAGUGAUACUGAAGAGAGAAAAUUCUCUGAGAUUAGGAACAAGUCCUUUUGCUAUAGGCUGGAUAAGCAGCUGUGAUUCUCCAGGGCAAGCUUGCCUGGAAUUCUGCACAGAGGUCACAGCUAGCAACUGAGGAGUGUUCUGCAAGGAGGUUUAUCACCACCAGGAAAAGAGCAUACUCAUGAAGAACUGUUGUGCUGUAACUUGUUAAGACUCAGUACUCUCUUCUUGGAUCUGAGCACUACAUUAUCACAGAUUGGCCCAAGGAAAGCAAUACCUGGGCUAGGACUACUUUUUGGCUAAGGUUCAAAGACUUGGCUGUGGGAUAACUUAGAAUUUGGGUCAUUGUUAUUUUGUGAAUAAGACUGAAAACUUAGAAAUGUAGCUGGUACUGAUACUUGGUAGUUACCUGUUCUAGUGAGCGUUCUGCUGUCAGAUGACAUUAUCUAAUUGUUUUCUGGGGAAAACUAGUAAAGAAAGUCACUUCUGGAAAGGAACUUAAUAAAAAAAAAUGUUAUCAAUCGUGAAUGAAGCAACAGAACAAUAUAAACCGGAUAAGGAUAGAUGAGACUUGGAGGAUCAGUGUUAUGGAUGGUCUUGCAUGAACAUUAGCAAGAAACAAUGUGUAGUUUGGGAUAAAAGUUUGGACUACAACUCUAAGAAUCGGUUCAAGAAUGGCAAUGCAGCUCUGAAGUCCUUCAUAUGUAGGGAGCUGAAUUUGCGGUUUUAUCUGUAAUUAAGUAUUUCUAAAAUCCUUUUUUUUCAGUAUAUUUGAAAAGUGUUCAUUUGGGUGGAAAAUAACUGAUAGUUUAACUAACUUAAAUUGUUAAACUAACUUCAGAAAUAAACUGAUAUACAAAAAGUGUACAUCAUCACACUUCUGUGUAAACAGAUGGAAAGCUGGGUAUUUUCAAGGUUGUAUAACCUGUUCUUUUUUUUCAGGCUAGGAGGGUUAGGCUUCUGUAUAAUUUGCUGAAUCAAAUGCCCUUUCACGUCAUCAGUGAUGGAUGGAAUUUACACAUUUUUUUAUCAUCAUUUAAUAUUUAGUGAAGUUCUUGCUAGGAUUUCUCCAGAUCAGUUCUGUCCUUAUCUGCUAUGUACUACUCUAUUUAUAAUUAUUACUGUUUUUUGCCAUACUAAAUUCUCUCCAUGAAGUGACUUUCUCUAACAGUAUUUCACAAUCACCGAUUAUGCUCCCUGUGGCAUUUUGUUUUCCUUUUAUCUGCUCUUCCUUUUUUGUUUCUUCACAUUUGACAGGGAUGUUUGGUAUGGAGAGUUGUUUAGGGAUCAAGCUGUCUUUCAUUGGAAGGUAGUAUCAGUCAAAUAACCUUCCAUUCACCCCAGACCUAGUGUACACACACAAGCGCUAACCAUGGCUGAGCUGAGCACAGUAAAGUGUUAAAUAACUGUGUUGUGGCAACUGUUUGGCACAAUGCGAUAAGCCUGCAACUCAGAUCACACCGCAGCCACUGUGAAAGAGGGACAAUAGCAGUAGACAGAUUAAACAUCAAUGCCUUAGAGAAAAGCUUUGCAUUGUACUGUAAGACUUGUUUUUCUUGCCUGUGACAUCUUGCUGAUUUUUGUUUAAAAUGUGCAUAAUUUUGUAGAUACACUACUUACAGUCUUUAAUCAGCAGUUAAGAUAAAACAGUAUCGCUUUUGUUCCCCUGCUAAAGCUCUUUUCAUGUAGUGUCACUAGUUGCACAGCAGACGCGUUUAUUCUGAAUGUCUUAUAUGGCCUUUCCAUUCCACAGGAGCAAGAAUGUUUUUUACUCGUUUUUUCCUACAGUGAACAUUUUCACCACAUUUUCCAUUCCAGGUUUAUGAACCAUGGCUAAUCCUGCAGUAAUGCCUGUCCUUGCUCAUCCCACAGCUGUGCACGACUCCCCAAAACAUCAGAGCACAAGUCCCCCCCCGUUCCGUACUCCACUUGCUUUGCUGGUAGCCCUGAUUCUACUUAAAACUCCCAAAUGCAAAAGAUGGAGGAGGAGGUCAAACUGAUCCCUAACAAGACACUUCUGAGAAAAUCACGUAGAAGGAUUCCUUUUCUUUUUAACCCUGGAGGCAUAUGAGCAGUCCAGAACUAAUAAGUGCCAGAUAUAAAUCUGGUACAAAUUGAUCCAUCCUUUUUAGUUGAAUGGUGUAACACUGCUUUCUACUGUCUGAUGAUCUGGCCCUUCGUUUCUCAUUAGUAAUAAAUAAAUACAUUUUAUAGACAAGGAAAAAAAAAAAAAGAGGUUGGCUCUGAAGACCACUCAUCAGUUCUUGUGUAAUACCAUUUGGCUUUAAGUUGGGAAGGCAUAAUUAAAAACAUGAAUUUUAAACUUUCCCUUCAGAAAUGAAGUGCAGUGAACUUUCUUCUUUUUUUAUAUGUGACUGACUCCCUUAUUGCUGUUUACUCUCUGCAAUAUUUUAAAUUAUCUAAACAAAACUGAAUCAAUAGACUAUGUGUACACUCUGCUGCUUACAGAAAAAUAGUUUUGUAUUGCCUUCAUAGCAGAGGACAGGCAAGAACUUGACAUUUAUCUAUGCUGUUUGCCAACAGCCAGCUGGCCUGUCAGCAUAUGGGUAGUAGCAGGACAACUGGCAUAAGCACUGCUUUAAGUAGCACGUGCUGUUUCUUGCAGCCAGUGGGUCAAAAAA